GGCUAGCGUGGGGCCAGCGGCGGGGGUAAGAAAGGGGGUGCAAGGGUUAAGCGGAUUUACUUGGCGUAAAGCGUGUGUAGGUGGUUGGGAAAGUCAAUUGUGAAAGCCCCGGGCUUAACUCGGGAACUGCUUGUGAUACUGUCUGACUAGAAUUCGGUAGAGGGAGGCGGAACUCCAGGUGUAGCGGUGAAAUGCGUAGAUAUCUGGAAGAACACCAAUGGCGAAGGCAACCUCCUGGGCCUGAAUUGACACUGAGACACGAAAGCGUGGGGAUCAAACAGGAUUAGAUACCCAGUAGUC
rnacentral:rRNA from 1 species